AGUUUCACCCAGGCAGAGGCAGCAGGGCUCGUCCUGGCUGCUGGCACCGGUCAGGGCUGCCAAAGCCGGCUCACAGAAACCUGGACUGCUGCUGGCCAGGACAGCUGGCCAAAAGAGAACAAAGGCAACAUCAUGCCAGCUGUAUGGUAUUCCUGAAGGUAUCCACCGUCCCAAACCAUGUGCUUCCCGGCAGCCAGCCCUGAAGGUUCAAAACCCAGAAGAGUGUGCACGGCGGCAGCUUCUGGACGAAAGGGAGAGAGCAGAGGUCAUGUUGGUUUUGAGAAAGCUGAGAGGACACCAAAGGACUCUUGACAGCAGUGCCACUGUCCUCUGCUGAGAGCACUCGUUCCACACAACCAUCUCCCAGUUUCUGUGAGUUCGGAUGACACAAUGCCAAUUUCCAACUCCGCUUUUUAUGUUUAUCAAAUCCUCCCGGUGCCCACUGACUGCCUUAGCCCUGAGAAAGCAUGCAGGGCCUUCCAGAGUGAGACUGGGCUUGUUCCUACGACCAGAGAGCUGUGAGACUUGAAAACUUCUUCCCUAAAAGCAUCCAGAGAAAUGUCAUGGUAAAAAGCAAUGCUGUACAAACUGCUUUUAUUAAGGAAUUCAAUCUCUUUUUUCUUCCAUUUAUUUUUAAGAAGGUCACCUGUCUCUGCACAAGGUUGCAGGGAAUCAUAUCUAAUUAGCAGU